rnacentral:rRNA from 1 species
AUUGAACGCUGGCGGCAUGCCUUACACAUGCAAGUCGAACGGUAACAGGUCUUCGGAUGCUGACGAGUGGCGAACGGGUGAGUAAUACAUCGGAACGUGCCCGAUCGUGGGGGAUAACGAAGCGAAAGCUUUGCUAAUACCGCAUAAGAUCUACGGAUGAAAGCAGGGGACCGCAAGGCCUUGCGCGAACGGAGCGGCCGAUGGCAGAUUAGGUAGUUGGUGGGAUAAAAGCCUACCAAGCCGACGAUCUGUAGCUGGUCUGAGAGGACGACCAGCCACACUGGGACUGAGACACGGCCCAGACUCCUACGGGAGGCAGCAGUGGGGAAUUUUGGACAAUGGGCGAAAGCCUGAUCCAGCCAUGCCGCGUGCAGGAUGAAGGCCUUCGGGUUGUAAACUGCUUUUGUACGGAACGAAAAGACUCUUUCUAAUAAAGAGGGUCCAUGACGGUACCGUAAGAAUAAGCACCGGCUAACUACGUGCCAGCCGCCGCUGUAAAAC